rnacentral:rRNA from 1 species
AUGUAAUGCCUAUAGUGUUAAUGCAUCAGAUCCCAUUAGAACUCCGCAGUUAAGCACGCUUAGGCUAGAGUAGUACUGGAAUGGGUGACCUCCCAGGAAGUCCUUGUAUUUUACAUG